AUCUCUGUAGAGUCUGCAUAUCAAUAAGCGGAGGAAAAGAAACUAACAAGGAUUCCCUUAGUAACGGCGAGUGAAGCGGGAAGAGCUCAAAUUUGAAAUCUUCAAGGUUCUACCUUGACGAAUUGUAGUUUAAAGAAGUGUUUUCUGUUAGAUGAGUAGCAAAAGUUCCUUGGAAUGGGACAUCAUAGAGGGUGAGAAUCCCGUAUUUGGUUAUUCAUUCUAGCUUUGUGCUACACUUUCAAAGAGUCGGAUUGUUUGGGAAUGCAGUCCAAAAUGGGUGGUAAAUUUCAUCUAAAGCUAAAUAUUGGCGAGAGACCGAUAGCGAACAAGUACCGUGAGGGAAAGAUGAAAAGAACUUUGAAAAGAGAGUUAAACAGUACGUGAAAUUGUCAAAAGGGAAGCGUUUGACACCAGUAUUCGUUUUUCCGAAAAUCAAUUACGAAUGGCUUGAUUCUGUGUUGUAUUGACCUUAUCAGCUUUCUGCACUUUUUUCGAGUCUUUCUUAAUGCACUUUUCGGUUAACAAGUCAACAUCAAUUUCUUUUGUUGUAAAAGAGUAUUCGGAAGGUGGCUUUCUUUUCGGAGAAAGUGUUUAUAGCCCUAUACUUCUACAAUCGGAGAGAUUGAGGUCUGCAGCGUAGAUCCUUCGGGGUUAGAUACACUUGUGCUAAGUUGUAGCUUUUCAUAGACAACUUGUUGACUAUGUUUAGUCAUGCGGCUUACUCGCUUGUGCUAUUUUACCUACGCUUAGGAUGUUGACGAGACUGUCGAUCUC
rnacentral:rRNA from 1 species